CAGAAAUGAUAAGCGAGGCAAGAGAUAAUGCAUUCACAGCCUUUGAUCAACUGCUGUACAUAUGGCACAUGAUGAAAAUCAGACAAAAAGCAAAGUGAUAUUCUCGAUAAAACAGGAAAGAGGACAAGCUUCCACCAAAAUGUUUGAGCCCAGACUAGAGCAAAAUGAGACCCAAAUAUGAAAGAACCCAUGAUAUGUGCAGUUGGAGGCUGAUUUCACACUUUGAAAAUAGAAAGCUUUUCUUAUAACAACUUUUCUCAGUGGAAGU
rnacentral:lncRNA from 1 species